AGUCGAGCGGACAGAAGGGAGCUUGCUCCCGGAUGUUAGCGGCGGACGGGUGAGUAACACGUGGGUAACCUGCCUGUAAGACUGGGAUAACUCCGGGAAACCGGAGCUAAUACCGGAUAGUUCCUUGAACCGCAUGGUUCAAGGAUGAAAGACGGUUUCGGCUGUCACUUACAGAUGGACCCGCGGCGCAUUAGCUAGUUGGUGGGGUAAUGGCUCACCAAGGCGACGAUGCGUAGCCGACCUGAGAGGGUGAUCGGCCACACUGGGACUGAGACACGGCCCAGACUCCUACGGGAGGCAGCAGUAGGGAAUCUUCCGCAAUGGACGAAAGUCUGACGGAGCAACGCCGCGUGAGUGAUGAAGGUUUUCGGAUCGUAAAGCUCUGUUGUUAGGGAAGAACAAGUGCGAGAGUAACUGCUCGCACCUUGACGGUACCUAACCAGAAAGCCACGGCUAACUACGUGCCAGCAGCCGCGGUAAUACGUAGGUGGCAAGCGUUGUCCGGAAUUAUUGGGCGUAAAGGGCUCGCAGGCGGUUUCUUAAGUCUGAUGUGAAAGCCCCCGGCUCAACCGGGGAGGGUCAUUGGAAACUGGGAAACUUGAGUGCAGAAGAGGAGAGUGGAAUUCCACGUGUAGCGGUGAAAUGCGUAGAGAUGUGGAGGAACACCAGUGGCGAAGGCGACUCUCUGGUCUGUAACUGACGCUGAGGAGCGAAAGCGUGGGGAGCGAACAGGAUUAGAUACCCUGGUAGUCCACGCCGUAAACGAUGAGUGCUAAGUGUUAGGGGGUUUCCGCCCCUUAGUGCUGCAGCUAACGCAUUAAGCACUCCGCCUGGGGAGUACGGUCGCAAGACUG
rnacentral:rRNA from 1 species